rnacentral:rRNA from 1 species
UAGAACGGUAACAGGGACUAGCUCCGCUGACAAGUGGCGAACGGGUGAGUAAGUAUCGGAACGUACAUUUCAGUGGGGGAUAACGUAGCGAAAGUUACACUAAUACCGCAUAUUCUGUGAGCAGGAAAGCAGGGGAUCGCAAGACCCUUGCGCUGAUUGAGCGGCCGAUAUCAGAUUAGCUAGUUGGUGAGGUAAAGGCUCACCAAGGCGACGAUUUGUAGCGGGUCUGAGAGGAUGAUCCGCCACACUGGAACUGAGACACGGUCCAGACUCCUACGGGAGGCAGCAGUGGGGAAUUUUGGACAAUGGGGGCAACCCUGAUCCAGCCAUGCCGCGUGAGUGAAGAAGGCCUUCGGGUUGUAAAGCUCUUUCGGCCGGGAAGAAAUCGCAUGGGUUAAUACCCUAUGCGGAUGACGGUACCGGCAUAAGAAGCACCGGCUAACUACGUGCCAGCAGCCGCGGUAAUACGUAGGGUGCGAGCGUUAAUCGGAAUUACUGGGCGUAAAGCGUGCGCAGGCGGUUUUGUAAGACAGGCGUGAAAUCCCCGGGCUCAACCUGGGAACUGCGCUUGUGACUGCAAGGCUAGAGUAUGGCAGAGGGGGGUGGAAUUCCACGUGUAGCAGUGAAAUGCGUAGAGAUGUGGAGGAACACCAAUGGCGAAGGCAGCCCCCUGGGCCAAUACUGACGCUCAUGCACGAAAGCGUGGGUAGCAAACAGGAUUAGAUACCCUGGUAGUCCACGCCCUAAACGAUGUCAACUAGGUGUUGGGUGGGUAAAACCAUUUAGUACCGGAGCUAACGCGUGAAGUUGACCGCCUGGGGAGUACGGCCGCAAGGUUA